UUACCAUCCGGGAUUGCCUUAGUAACGGCGAGUGAAGCGGCAAAAGCUCAAAUUUGAAAUCUGGUACCUUCGGUGCCCGAGUUGUAAUUUGGAGAGGGCAACUUUGGGGCCGUUCCUUGUCUAUGUUCCUUGGAACAGGACGUCAUAGAGGGUGAGAAUCCCGUGUGGCGAGGAGUGCGGUUCUUUGUAAAGUGCCUUCGAAGAGUCGAGUUGUUUGGGAAUGCAGCUCUAAGUGGGUGGUAAAUUCCAUCUAAAGCUAAAUAUUGGCGAGAGACCGAUAGCGAACAAGUACAGUGAUGGAAAGAUGAAAAGAACUUUGAAAAGAGAGUGAAAAAGUACGUGAAAUUGUUGAAAGGGAAGGGCAUUUGAUCAGACAUGGUGUUUUGUGCCCUCUGCUCCUUGUGGGUAGGGGAAUCUCGCAUUUCACUGGGCCAGCAUCAGUUUUGGUGGCAGGAUAAAUCCAUAGGAAUGUAGCUUGCCUCGGUAAGUAUUAUAGCCUGUGGGAAUACUGCCAGCUGGGACUGAGGACUGCGACGUAAGUCAAGGAUGCUGGCAUAAUGGUUAUAUGCCGCCCGUCUGGAAAACACGGGACCA
rnacentral:rRNA from 1 species